GUACAUGUAGAACCAGGCGACCAAAUCCUUAGUUGUUUACUCUGUCUUUACUCAGCUGUUACUUGGGCAAACCCUAUUGGCCUGGAAUGGCGAACCACAGCCAGUGGGAGCUGCAAUCGGCUGAACCUACAGACGCUGCAGGUAAACAAUCCAUCAUGGUCUGCCAGUGGAUUUCCCUGAUGGGCUGCGUGCCAAAGGAUGCCGAUCCCUGCUACAGGUAAUGUUUCUGUUUGAGCCCACAGAGAUAUGUAGACAGAAAAGCUUCUCAUAUUCAGACAACAAUGCAUUCCCUCAACCCAGAAAAGUUUAAUACACAUGGGAAACAUGGACAGGCUUUUUUCUUCCAUAUGUUGCAGUCACAAUAAUACUUCUAAACACCCAGUGUAGUGGAAUUUAGGUGGGUAGAGCAGGUGGUGAGAGAGAGGCCUCUGCCAUUGCCCAAGUAAGAGUAAAGUAAACAAGGCCCAGAUGCAAGAGCCCUCAACAAGCCAAAAUGCCACUUCACAACAGCGCAAAGCCCCCUCUUUCCAGGUGUGUUCAUGGCACUCCUGGUUCUCCUCCCUGCCAAUUCUUACAUCUGUUCCCCGAGCCAUAAGACGUAGCCCAGAAAUCUCCAAGGAUAGGCUUUCCCUUGGAUCCAAAUACUGUGUGUCCAUGGCUCCCUUCUAGUCUUGCCUUAAUCCACCCUUGACCUUUGCUACAUAUAAAUCCAACUUUCCAAGAGAAGCCUACAAAAAGAGACCCUCAGAAAUAUUGCUGUUUUGUUUUCUUUCUUGCACACCCACUCUCUCAGUAUGACAACACAAUAUUGCCUCACAUCAAGGGGGAAACAUAAUUAGCAUACAUAUAUAAAGACACAACAUGAAUGGAUUCUAAAGAAAAGGACUGUUUUAAAUUAUUCUCUCCUUUCAUGUAUCUUUUGCUUCUGGGAUGAGUGAGCAUGGCUACCAGAGGAAGCUAAAAAGGGACUUAAAACAGACUAUGCUGAAGACUGCCAAGACGACAUCUGUUGAUUUCAUGCACCAGAACACUCUGCGAUGAAUAACUGAUGAAACAGGGA